UGGGGAAUAUUGCACAAUGGGGGAAACCCUGAUGCAGCGACGCCGCGUGAACGAAGAAGGUAUUCGUAUCGUAAAGUUCUGUCCUAUGGGAAGAUAAUGACAGUACCAUAGAAGAAAGCUCCGGCUAAAUACGUGCCAGCAGCCGCGGUAAUACGUAUGGAGCGAGCGUUGUCCGGAAUUAUUGGGCGUAAAGGGUACGCAGGCGGUUUAAUAAGUCGAAUGUUAAAGAUCGGGGCUCAACCCCGCAAAGCAUUGGAAACUGAUAAACUUGAGUAGUGGAGAGGAAAGUGGAAUUCCUAGUGUAGUGGUGAAAUACGUAGAUAUUAGGAGGAAUACCAGUAGCGAAGGCGACUUUCUGGACACAAACUGACGCUGAGGUACGAAAGCGUGGUGAGCAAACAGG
rnacentral:rRNA from 2 species